rnacentral:lncRNA from 1 species
CUCAGUUUGAGCCGGUCCCCCCCUUGCCCCUGCCCUUCUCUCUGGCAGCGUGACGGUACGAACAGGGAGGAUCACAUUUUUCAGCUCGUCCCUUUCUCCAAACUGUUACUGAGAAGGAUGAAGUAUUGCUCCUGAGAUAGAGUGGAGGUUGUUCCCCCACUCUGACUAUGGGACUGAACCACCCUUCCUGUGUAGCAGGAACUCUUCCCACUCUUUGAUCACUGGAGAACCACCACCUGGACCAUGUCUAGAAGUUAUGCCUGAAGGUAUUAUAUCUUAUCUGACCUUUUUUCACUAAAUCUUAUCUGUUGGACAAAUGUAAAAGUCAUGACAUACUUGGAGACCUUGUCCUGUUUGGAACAAUACAGACUUCAUUCUCAAUGGCAUGCACAGAAUCAUAGAAUCAUAAAAUCACCAAAGUUAGAAAAGACCUCCAAGAUCAUCUAGUCCAACCUUAAACAUAUUCCAGUAGCUUUCUGGACGAAGGCAUGCUGACAACUUGGCAGGUCCAGAAGAUGACGAAAUUUACCGUGCCGUGUGCAUUUUCUGUAAAAGUGAUUUUUCCUUAUAUCUUUCUCCUUGUAAUGAUUCUGUUCCCUCUGUGCAAGCCUACACUACAAGGCGUUGCCAGAAAAGAAGCUAAAACCAGCAGCUAAAUCUCUGAGCAGUGUACUUUACUGUAUUUCUGUCUGAGUACAUUAAGGAAUUGUGGAAGUUCUCACUCAGAGUUCUGCUGGAAAGCCCUAAAUCCAAAGUAGAUAAAGUCUGACUUUUUAUCCUACAUUUAGCUGCUAUUAUGAAUUAAAUUGUAGAAGAAAAGGAUGGAUGAGUAGUAAAAAUAGGUGCUUCCUCUGUCGUAUUAGAAAAUGUGAAUUUUUCUAGGAGCAUUUACCUAGCCAAUUGCAGCUGGAAAUAAGCAGUUCAUUGAGAGUAGUAAAUAGGACAUGAUGAUUAUAAUCGAUUCUCAUUGUGAGGAAUGGACAGCAGGUUUAGCCAGCCAUCAGUGUAUUUCAGAGUGGUUAAAUAAUUAUGAAGAACUCAUAUCAUAAAUACUUUUUUUAUCAAAAAUAUCCUAUGGGAACAGUGACCUACAAGGUAGCUGGUUUAUUUUGUGUGUCUUGUUUGUUUGUUUGUUUUCCCAGGGAAAAGAACAAUACAGAAAAACAUACAUUCACAUAUUUUUUUGCAUCUUCUAAGAAGAACCAAAAGCAUUCAAUUAGGUUUUGGUAUUUCUUCAGAAGUAUUUUUUUUACUUCAAACUACUUUUAUCCUACUGAAAUGUACUUUUAUGAUCUCAGUGAAACACUGAGAAACUUUUUACAUCUCAGAUUCUCUACAGAACUCAGAAACACUUCUCUGACUUCAAAUCAGAGUCCAGUCCUAUUCACAUCAGUGAAAAUAGGCUAUUUUAUGUUACUCAAAAAACCUGUGAUCCUGAAAUAGAGAUCAAAUAGGAGUGUGAUAUAAAAUUGAUAACUAAAACCAUGUAAAAUUCUCAGUAAAAGGUUGUAACUGUGGAUUGUUUUAGCUUUCUUAGUAAUUUCAGCACUUCUAAGUGAUUUCUGAAGAAACAAAUGAUGAAUGAAGUUAAUGCCUCGUUUUUCACCCAUUAUAACAAAGAGACCACGAAGAAAGUCUUACAUCUAGAUUCAGCCAUGAUUAAUGAGAAAGAAAAACAAUAAAGGAGGUAGCAGGAUCCAUCACAAUAAAGCCUGCAGUUAAGGCGAUGUCUCAGACUCAAAGACCUGAUUACCUGAACAAGAAUUUGUAAAUUCAGGAUAAGUUAUCAUUUACUUUUUAAUUUAUUUUAGUUCACGAUUUUGCAUGUGUUCUCGUAGUUAAUUUGCAUUAUCUGGAAAUGUUGUGGUACAUUUUCAAACCCAACUGAUGUGACAGUCAUGAAGGUAUAUCUGUGUGCAUUUGUUUAACAGUGCACUGGUCCUUUUCGUCCUUAUUAUUCCAGAAAAACCAGAAACCCACCAAGUAUAAGGGCAUCAGAAUUUAUUACAUUCUUUGCUCCUACUGUUGUCCUUUUCAUAGCAGGUUAACUAUCUGUCUGGUAUACAUAAAGAAAAUUGUAUAAAAUAUGAAGAUACUCAUAGAUGUUCACUGGAACUCUGAUGUACAGGUGUACACACUGGUCUUGUUAUGGUGAUACAAAACUUUAAUUCACACAUUUCUCCAGUCCUGAGUGAUACUGAGAACACCUGACUUGUCAGACUGAAAAUUUGGCACUGCAGUAACACACAUAUUUAUUCCAAAAACAGAACACUGGUAGCUUCGCUGCUAUAAGUAAGCUAAAUCAAAAGAUGAUGGAUAACAUCAGAAAUUUGUGCAUAGAGUUGCACCUAUCAUAUGCUAUCCUCCUUUGUCCCACGGGUUCCAAUACAGAUAUAAUAUGGUUAUAUUCUUUAAUAUGAACACUGGAAAGCCUGUCACAAGAAAAGGCUGAUCAUAUGAUCCCAUAAAAAAUUUAUAACACUACCUGUGGCUAAAUUUAUACGUUUCAUCCACAGGUGAGGAUGUUUCUCAGUGAAACAAAGCAAAGUUCUCCUGGAUGAUGAAAUUAAAUUUGGAUAGGAUCUGCAUCUUGUUUUAAACCUGACAAAAUCUGACCAGUGGAAAUGUUGGACUGUCUGAAGUAUUAAAUGCCCUAUAAAAAUAAAUGACUGUGUUGAAUGCAAGCGGAAGCUUUCUUUGUUGUUGUUGUUUAUCCUUUCCUGUAUCUGUUAAUUCCCUAAUUUGUUCCCUCUCUUGUCUUUUCUCUUUUUCCUCAAAAGAAAAUUUUAAAAUACUUGCUGAGUCUAGAGUAAUUUCAGUUGUGUUCAGUGUCUCCUUUACUUUUCAGUUUUCACCCUUUUUCUUUAUGGCCUGAACCUUGUUUUAGCAUUGAAAUCUGCGUAUCCAAUUAUAGUAAUUUACAAAGUCAUUGACUGCUGUGAAAAGAUUCUCAAGCGAUUAAAAGCCUUCAGAGAUUUAAUUUUUCAUUAUUUUUAUAUAUUCUUAUAUAUAUAUAUAUGUACAUAUACAAAGCAAGUGGGAAGCUUUUUCUUUACUGCAACUGUCAGGGAUACUUGGGAUAAACUUUUUGACAGCCUGUAGUAGAAAUGCCAAGUCCCAGCUUGAAGGAGUGAUUGAGCACCUGGUGGGAGGACAGGGCCAACCCAGGGGAGCUCAGAUGCAAGCAAUGCACCUGAGUGACCUGAAGAUGCGGAACCAGGAUUCACUCCUUCCCAGACCUCAUUUAAGGGUUGGCAGUGGAGGUGAGAGCAUCUCAUCUAGAGAUCUUCUCCUGCCUGAGGUGGUUGUAGAUCUUCUGAAGGUAAGUAGUUUCUCUUAUUUCUGUGCCCACUGGUAUCACAUCUAUGCAGAUGCUCACUUGCUGUGCAGCUGAAGACCUUGCUGCUCUGCUGUCUUGUUAUGCUUUCUAUCCUGUUAGAUAGCUCCAGGAUAAGAACAAGUUAGUACCUAUCAGUCUUCUUCACUUCUCACUCCUGUGGAGGUAUUCACAAGAACCUUACUGAUAAUCUCACUACUGUUUGUACCUGGUCUGUUCUUUCAUGGGUGAUAAUUAUAGAAGGGAUGGGAGAGAAAUAAUAGAAAUAGAAGAACAGGCAUCAACUUGAAUGGCAAUGCUGGUGAAGUAGCAAGGCAAUUUACAGUAUAAGAAGAGAGAAGUGAUUCUACAUAAUAAGGCCAGAAUUGUGCAAAACAAUGUAAGGGAAGAUGAACACAGAAAACAAAAACAAAAACAAACAAAAAAAAAACUAGUAGUGUCAUAGGGAGUCAUUCUAUGUUUUUGGGUUUUGAGCCUUUUCUUUUUUUAAGUACAUACACUAUAGCCUUUAUUACAAGUGUAAAUCUGUUGUAUAAUGAAUACAUGUUCUUGCAUAGUGCCUGUAGUGUGCUGGGCCUGUAAAGAUAGCCCAGUAAGUAUGUUUUCUGUUUACAGGCAUGUAGAAAAAACAUUCACCAUGUCAGAUGCAAAAACUACUAUCUUAUGUUUGUCAGGCAGCGGACAAUUCUGUGGGUAUUGUCUGCCAAAUUUCUUAACGAUUUCCAUUCCAGCAGCAUGCAUAUCCAGGCACAGCUUACCAUUAGACCUGUGCAGAACAACUUGGUAGAGAAUUUUAUUUCCUGGUUUGUGACCUAUUUAAACUUAAAAUGAAGCUUUUUUUUUUUUUUCUUCCCUUCACAUAUACCGAUGCAAUGCAGAAAUAACAGUAAAUUUAACUUUGUUAAAUGUUAUGCAAAUGCAGUGCAUUUUACUUUCACAUUCUGGAAUAAAAGUGCUAUGCUUUAAGCACACAUUUUGCAUAACAAUGUUAAGUUUCAUAUAUUAUCUUAAAAUGCAAAAUAUAUAAAUCUACACAGCUGCAAAAGCAUAAGCAGAACGUAUUACUCUGAUAACAGGAAAACAGAGCCUGAGCAAAGUACAACAUCAGUACAUUAAUCAGGUCCACUGGUAGCUUUGUUUUGGGGAAAAAGAAGCUAACUUUAACUGUUUUGCUUUAACUUUUAAACUAUGUGGAAAUAUUAAGCAAUAAUGCUCUUUAGAAGACAGCAUUUAAUACAUGAAGAUAUUCACAUUUUUAUCAUACUGAGCUAAAAGAAAAGCCAUAAUGUUUUCAAAUUUAUAAUUCUGCAGCUGAGAUAAAACUCCAAAAAUGAUAAUUUUUUCAGUCAGUUAAAAAUAGAAGUUACACUUCAAUAAUCAGAUCCUAAUUCUAAUUUGUCCCUCUUGAAAGACAAAAACCCCCCCAAAUUUUCUUAAUUAAGUAGCCAAAUUUCCAUCAGCAUGAGGAAAGCUUCAGAAGACAAAUUUCUUACCAGCUAUGCACUGAGACGUUCUUGUAGCUCCACUGUGUACAGAACUGGGCAGUGUCAGGCCUGGGGGAGAUACACAGUUGUUGCAGGGUAAAAUAACUAUUUUGUUCAAUAUCCUAAAGAAUGUAAGUUACUUUUUAACACUUCAAAAGGCAAUAGGAUUUGUCCAAGAAAGUGGUGAGAAUCUGUGGGAGUGAAGAGCAAAGCAGUGGGCUUCUAUUCCUUUUCCAUAGACCCCAAGCUGAAGGAAGAGAUCAUGGAUGCUCCUCCAGAGGAUGCUAGGACUGGGCUUUGGGAAAUGAAGCAUUUACUGAAGUUUCAAUCUUUUUCUCAGCUACAUGGGUAAUGAUCAUUCUCUAUCACAAAUAUCUCUCUCUUUUUCGAAUCUUCCUUUCCACAAGAAGAUCAGAACAGUUUCCUGGACUGAGUUCUGGAGCUGCUAUGGGGAAGAAGAAAAAAAAAAGUACAAAGAAAGAAAGAGAGAGGUAGCCUGAACAGUUUCCAUAUCCUCAAUUAAAGAUUACAACUCAAAUCAGGAUUAUUAAAUGCUUGUGUGAAGUUAACAAAAUCAAAAGAAACAUUGUUUUCUUCAUUUCUAAAUUAUUGCAUUCAGCAGAAUGCAGACAAACUACCAGUUGUAGAAAUAGUUUCUCCCACUGUGGGCGGCCUGGCAGGAAAGAUGACUGCAUAACUGUAUAUAAUUAUGAGAUAAAACAAGAGCUGGAGUGUACUGUUUUAUGAUACCUGUAAAUUAUUUUUACUAAAUUGAUUUUAAAGUAUAAUAUUAUACUGUUUGUACAAUAUAGAGAUCUUUGUGAGCUAAUCAAUGUAAAAUAACAUGUAGAUUGGAUAAGAAAAGGGUUAGUUUUAAUUCAAGUUAAAACAAAAAUACUCAAAAUAAAAAAGAAAGAACCUGAGCUCUCUUACUUUGUAGGGCUUCAACACACUAAUUUUAUAUAAUUUUGUGGUGAAAUCACUCAAAGUUUGUUUUACAUAUUCAGGACUAUUAUUUUCCAAGGUACUUGCACUUCUUUAUUGACAAAAGGGUUGGCAAUAGUGUUUUCUGUAGCAUCUGUUGAAAUCCAGGGGACUUCAUUGCUACUGUUCAAAUAACUGUAGAAAAUUCUCCUGUGAGUUUAACUGUAUCUUUGGGUGUCAAAGAACUUUUGCAGAUAUAAUCUUAAAUGACUUGUCUGCGGUAACAUAAGAACUUAGGACAGACUGGUGUAAUUUACCUGUACUCACAAUCAAUCUGUUUCCUACACAUUAGAACAUCUUUUAAAACCUACUGAAUGACUCACCUAUGACUACAUAAGUAGAUAUUCUGGUCGAAAACCAUUAUGAUCCAUUGAUUUAUUACAAGCCUUUAGAAAAUGAUGCUUUGGUUUUGUAAAUGUUCCCUGACAAAUCAAGAAGCACUCCUGGCAGAGAAAAAGGCAGCAUAAUGGCAUUUCCAUAGUAUUAUCUUACUCACCAGGUUUUGCAAAAUAUACAUCGACAUGUGCAAUGUUAUACUUACUAUUCGUGCUGAAAUGAAAACUUUGUUUAGGCAUGUUAUUUACCCUACCUGGAAGAAGGAGAAAAGGUCGAAAUUAAUUAUGCAGAUACUCUGAUAAUAGCAGCAUGAAAAGGUGAAGCACCUGUAUUCUGCUCCAUCACAUCGAGUCCCAGCGUGCCAUAAGUAGAUGAAAGUUUCUCAAAUCAAAUGGUAAGAACUGUGUUAAAAGCUCAUGGAUUUUCCAGUUCACUGUGCAGAUUCUCUUCCCUGAAAAGCAAUUUAGUCCAUACUGGCCUUUAAAAAGCUGUUAUCACUGCCAUGAAUGGUUUGACUAUAUUUAAAGUUAAUAGACAUCUUUCACAAGAACUUUAUCUUAUAGGAAAGCGGAGUGGAGGGACAUAAAAUCAUGAAGGCUUGUGUUGGUGGUGGUGGGUUUUUUUUUGUUUUUUUUUUUUGGAAUGCCAUGUUGGAGCUGGCUGGAACCAGUCGUGUUCAGCACAGGACAGCAUCGUCUUUGCCUCAAGCAGCAGCCCUGUGGUCUCCAUGACACUGAUGUGGCAACUGCACCAUUAAGUACUCAUGUAAGUAUUUCUCUUCUUGAUUUUUGUAGACCAAAUCAGCAAAAUGUGUAGCUAUAAAACUCCAAUUUAUUUCUUAUAACAUGUUCAAGACCUUGCACGAACCCCAGUGUACGCUGCCUUCAUUGUCUGGUAUCUGCUUAUCCUUAAAUACGUUUCCCAAAGCCUGAAUUGCAGACUCCUUCAAAGACUCAGGAAGAGUUUAGAGUUUGAAAAAGAUGUUCUCAGAUGUUCUUUUCACAUGUAGUGUUUUCUUUUUUAAGUCCCUGAGCCCUGCACAUAGAGACAGAAAGUAUGUGUGUGAAAUCUAAUAAUCAGCAAAGUAUAGGACACUUAGAGCUGAAAUGUGAGAGAGACUUGUUUUUGUUUUGUUGCCACCAACUAUGGAAAAUGAAGGGAUAAUAUAUCAUGGAAUAUAACUAUAUGGGAACUGUUAAAUCAUGGCUUGAACCUCUGAUUGAUCACCUGAGGCAAGCACCGAAUCAGCUGUGGGAGCACAGCGUAAGGCAAUUCAGCUGUGUGACUGGAAGGGGUGGAGCCUGGCUGCACCUCUCUUAGACCCCAUUUAAGGGCUGACUACCACUAUGGUAGGCUCUCUUGCUUGCUUGCUCCUCUUGGAGGUUUUCCUCUGAGCCUAUGAUAUGGGUGAGCAUUUUUCAUUUAUUUCUGAUUAUAAUCUUUUUAGCUAUACUAUCUGUGGAUACCAAUCUAACUACACCGCUCUGUGUAUUUGUUGAUUAUACAACAGCAAACGUUUUUCCUAUGCUUCAGACAGGAAUGUGUUUGAGAGGUAUUGGUUUGAGCAGCAUGAUAAAGAACUGAAACUCUUCCCUGGCAGUAUGUGGUGGAGGAGUACAUUUAACUGAUGCUGUCAAGGUAACUUCAGCAAAAUUUUAGGCCUCUUGAGUGCUUUCUUCUCCAUCCCUUCACAUUUGACUAGUGUGGUGCGAAGGCAGCCUGCCUACUGGGGUGUCCUUGGAGCUGGGGUGAUGGCUGCAGUGGAGCCUUCUACUGCUUCUGGGCAGCCUUGUGCCUAUGUGAUAAGUUAUGCCCUGCAGGCUUUUUUUUCUGAGCAUUGCCGGUAUGAAAUGUCCUGCAUAAAAUAAUUUCUGCAGAGUUAUUUAACACUUGUAAUGCAUUUGGAAAGUGGGGAUAGGGGAGGAGGGAUUAAAGCCCCCAAAAUAUAUCACUUAUCUCUUCUGUUCUCCAUUGUGUGGUGAAUGUUGUACUGGAUACCACAUAUAAUGCAAGAAUAGAAUUAGGUUUUGAAAUGCUCUUUUGUCAUGCGUGGGGCUCUAAAGAUCUGUUUUUCCACUGAAGCUUUGCUGUUAGAGCUGUAGAAAUCAUUUCACAAUUCUAUCUAUUCACUACAAUACGUUAAUUCCCUGACUCCUUACUGCACAUUAAACAAUGUGUCCUUAAUUUAGUUGUAGGAGUACACUAGCAAAAUAAUUAAAUUUCUGGAUCAGUCUCUUUGCAUUUUUUUCAUCAGAAUACUUUUUCUACAUUAGAUUUUACAGUGUAGUGACUGUAGCCGCUGGAGCACUUUAUGGGAAGCCUCAUGAAUUGAAUCCCUUGGUUCUAUCCACGGGGGAUGACUAGCAAUGAAGAAGUCUCUGUUCGUUAAAAUAUACUGAACUUCAUUUUCAAGUGCAAUGGCCAAAUAUUUAUUCCUUUCCACAAUUAACAGCUAACCUUUCUCAUUCCCCUCAAAGGGCACCAUCCUUUUAUUUGACUCUGACUUAAUUUUUAUUAUUUCAAAACACUAGUAAUAAAGGUCUUCUUUCUUAUGGGACCAGCUGUCUUUUCCACUGAAUCUUUAAGUGUUUUUGAUUGCUUUUGACUUAUUUGUGAGUUUUGCGUUUUUUUAUUAGAUUGUAAGGAGAUAUCCAUGGCCUGUAUGAAAAUCAGUCAAAAUCCUAAACUAUCUUGCAAAAUGGAGGUUUUUCUCUCUUGAAUGGAAAAAAAAAAAAAAAAAAAGCAACAAAGAACCUGCCUGUGCAAUUUUCAUAAACUGGUACAUAGUUUUACAGAGAAAAUUAACUUUUUUUAAAAGUAGAACUUCAGGAGUCUCACAGAAGCUGGAAUUGUAGAAAACACUAAACUUUCCUCUACUCAUUGUUUUUCUGUGUUUUUGUUUUGUGUUGUCACUUUGUGAAGUAAAACUGUAACAAAAGAGUUAAAUAAAAGAUUGUGUGCUCCAGCUUUCAGAAAAUACAUUAUUUGGUUGACAGCAAAUCUGCCAUUUAUAAUUAACAUCAGAACAGCGGUAAAAACAAAUGUCUGCUUUUCCACCUGAUAAAACUUAUCUUCUGUCUUGUCCUCUUAAGAACUCUUUCAGUGUUUUCUAUCCAUGCACGUAUCCUUCUGAAAUCCCUUUCAGUGAUGUGUUUUGAUCUCUUUAGCCAGUUGAUCCUAUUUUUUUCACAUAAUUUUAAUUUUAUUUAAUUAAACAGUGUCGUCUUAAUUAAGAAAUAAUUAAACUGGAAUUUCAAUUAAAAUACCUAGAUCUUACCUCCUUCUGUCUUUAGUGCUGGAAGACAAUCUGCUGGAACAGCUGUGUGAACCAUAAAACAUAUCUUGUAUUAAGAGGCUAAACUGUUUUAACUGUAAUAAAAGUUAUCUUAGUACUGCAGAUAUCCAGGUUUUUUUUCCUCACUAUCCUCAUUAUCUCUUUUAAAUCUCACAGAGAAAUGAGAAAUCUCUACUUAUAUUCUCC